CCAUAGCGUAUAUUAAAGCUGUUGCGGUUAAAAAGCUCGUAGUUGGAUUUCUGUCAAGGACAACUGGUCCGCCCCUCGGGUGAGCACAUAGUUUGGUCUUGGCAUCUUGUUGGAAACUGUUGCUGCACUUGGUUGUGUGGCGCAGUGUCCAGCACUUUCACUUUGAGGAAAUUGGAGUGUUUCAAGCAGGCACAUGCCUUUGGACACAGUAGCAUGGAAUAAUUAGAUUGGGCUUUUGCUCCAACUUGUCGGUUUCUGGAGCUGAGGUGAGAAUUAAUGGGGAUUGUUGGGGGCAUCCGAAUUUAGCCGUCAGAGGUGAAAUUCUUGGAUCUGCUAAAGACGGACAACUGCGAAAGCGUUUGCCCAGGAUGUUUUCAUUGA
rnacentral:rRNA from 1 species